rnacentral:pre_miRNA from 1 species
UUAGCUUAUAUUUGUAUGGAAUGGGAUCGUUUGCGUACGUUUGCCGCUAGGGGCGCUGUUCCAACUGCAUACAAAAUUUGAUUA